rnacentral:rRNA from 1 species
CGGCAACAGCUCAAAUUUGAAAUCCGGCCUCUCUCGGGGUCCGAGUUGUAAUUUGCAGAGGGUGUUUCGGGCGCGGGGCCGGUCCAAGUCCCCUGGAACGGGGCGUCGCAGAGGGUGAGAAUCCCGUCCGCGGCCGGCGACCAAGCCCGUGUGAAACCCCUUCGACGAGUCGAGUUGUUUGGGAAUGCAGCUCCAAAUGGGUGGUAAAUUCCAUCUAAAGCUAAAUACCGGCCAGAGACCGAUAGCGCACAAGUAGAGUGAUCGAAAGAUGAAAAGCACUUUGGAAAGAGAGUCAAACAGUACGUGAAAUUGUUGAAAGGGAAGCGCUUGCGACCAGACUCGAGCGGGGGCGAUCAGCGGUUCGUUCUCGACCGUGCACUCGUCCCCGGGCGGGCCAGCAUCGGUUCGGGCGGUCGGACAAAGGCGGCGGGAACGUAGCUCCCCCCGGGGAGUGUUACAGCCCGCCGUGCAAUGCGGCCAGCCCGGACCGAGGACCGCGCUUCGGCUAGGAUGCUGGCGUAAUGGUCGUCAGCGACCCGUCUUG